AAGAACACGUGUCGUCAUCAAGAGAGAAGGCAGCAGUAGAUUCACCUGUCGAGUUCUGCAGCAGAAGCUCCAUGAGGAAAAGGUGACAGAGUUUUACCUCCAUGAUGAGUGUCAAUGCCGUCCAUGGAGAGUUGCCUUUGCUGUCACUAUGACUGCACUUAUUCUCUUGGGCAUCGUCCAGUGUGUGUUCAUCCAUCGUUUGAAGAAAAGGGAAAUGAAAAGUUGAUCAUAAACAUAAAUAAUAUGAAGCCAUCAGCAUCCCUGAUGGAGUCUGAACACUGAAGUGUUGAAAAUGAACCAUAAACCUGACUCCUGACCCUAAACCUAACCCUAACCUGAUCCUGACUGUUACCCAGUGGUCUUUAAACAGUUUCAAAUGAAAGGUCAAUGGUGGUUGAAGCCCCGGUGUAGCCACGAUAAGAUUCAUGCAGAUGUUGGGCCCUUGAGCAAUUUCUUAUAGGCCAUGUAAAUUAAGUUGUUUAUUCCUGUUUUCACAAUUGUGUAUUGUGUUCUCUUAGCAUUGUGUUUGCUAAGACAGAUCUAUUGCUACUUUAAUUCAUUUUUCUCAUUGGAUAAAUCUGAGCGUCCUGUUCAUUCCUUGCACCUGGAACUGGACCUCCCUCUAGUGUUCAGUGCACUUGUCCCAGUUUAUGGUUAUGCAGUUUGAAUGCUGGUUAUGCAAUGUGAAUGCUGAUUAUCCAGUUUGAAUGCUGGUUAUGCAACUUGAAUGCUGAUUAUCCAGUUUGAAUGCUGGUUAUGCAAUGUGAAUGCUGGUUAUGUAGUUUGAAUGCUGGUUAUGCAACUUGAAUGCUGGUUAUGUAGUUUGAAUGCUGGUUAAACAGUUUGAAUACUGGUUAUCCAGUUUGAAUGCUGGUUAUGCAGUGUGAAUGCUGGUUAUGUAUUUUUUGUGCCAAGCUGCCAAACAGUGUCUGUCAUUAUAAUUGUUAUUUUUCUGCUAUGACAGUUAUUUGUGUUUACAUUUUGAGUUAUUUUUGAGCCUGUGCUUGUAGCAUUGUGUCUCCAGUAUGUCUGAUGUUUUAUAAUACAGGCCCUGUGUCUCCAGUAUGUCUGAUGUUUUAUAAUACAGGCCCUGUGUCUCCAGUAUGUCUGAUGUUUUAUAAUACAGGCCCUGUGUCUCCAGUAUGUCUGAUGUUUUAUAAUCAGGCCCUGUGUCUCCAGUAUGUCUGAUGUUUUAUAAUACAGGCCCUGUGUCUCCAGUAUGUCUGAUGUUUUAUAAUACAGGCCCUGUGUCUCCAGUAUGUCUGAUGUUUUAUAAUACAGGCCCUGUGUCUCCAGU